rnacentral:rRNA from 1 species
GAACGCUAGCUACAGGCUUAACACAUGCAAGUCGAGGGGCAGCAUGGUCUUAGCUUGCUAAGGCCGAUGGCGACCGGCGCACGGGUGAGUAACACGUAUCCAACCUGCCGUCUACUCUUGGACAGCCUUCUGAAAGGAAGAUUAAUACAAGAUGGCAUCAUGAGUCCGCAUGUUCACAUGAUUAAAGGUAUUCCGGUAGACGAUGGGGAUGCGUUCCAUUAGAUAGUAGGCGGGGUAACGGCCCACCUAGUCUUCGAUGGAUAGGGGUUCUGAGAGGAAGGUCCCCCACAUUGGAACUGAGACACGGUCCAAACUCCUACGGGAGGCAGCAGUGAGGAAUAUUGGUCAAUGGGCGAGAGCCUGAACCAGCCAAGUAGCGUGAAGGAUGACUGCCCUAUGGGUUGUAAACUUCUUUUAUAAAGGAAUAAAGUCGGGUAUGGAUACCCGUUUGCAUGUACUUUAUGAAUAAGGAUCGGCUAACUCCGUGCCAGCAGCCGCGGUAAUACGGAGGAUCCGAGCGUUAUCCGGAUUUAUUGGGUUUAAAGGGAGCGUAGAUGGAUGUUUAAGUCAGUUGUGAAAGUUUGCGGCUCAACCGUAAAAUUGCAGUUGAUACUGGAUAUCUUGAGUGCAGUUGAGGCAGGCGGAAUUCGUGGUGUAGCGGUGAAAUGCUUAGAUAUCACGAAGAACUCCGAUUGCGAAGGCAGCCUGCUAAGCUGCAACUGACAUUGAGGCUCGAAAGUGUGGGUAUCAAACAGGAUUAGAUACCCUGGUAGUCCACACGGUAAACGAUGAAUACUCGCUGUUUGCGAUAUACUGCAAGCGGCCAAGCGAAAGCGUUAAGUAUUCCACCUGGGGAGUACGCCGGCAACGGUGAAACUCAAAGGAAUUGACGGGGGCCCGCACAAGCGGAGGAACAUGUGGUUUAAUUCGAUGAUACGCGAGGAACCUUACCCGGGCUUAAAUUGCAGAUGAAUUACGGUGAAAGCCGUAAGCCGCAAGGCAUCUGUGAAGGUGCUGCAUGGUUGUCGUCAGCUCGUGCCGUGAGGUGUCGGCUUAAGUGCCAUAACGAGCGCAACCCUUGUUGUCAGUUACUAACAGGUUCCGCUGAGGACUCUGACAAGACUGCCAUCGUAAGAUGUGAGGAAGGUGGGGAUGACGUCAAAUCAGCACGGCCCUUACGUCCGGGGCUACACACGUGUUACAAUGGGGGGUACAGAGGGCCGCUACCACGCGAGUGGAUGCCAAUCCCCAAAACCUCUCUCAGUUCGGACUGGAGUCUGCAACCCGACUCCACGAAGCUGGAUUCGCUAGUAAUCGCGCAUCAGCCACGGCGCGGUGAAUACGUUCCCGGGCCUUGUACACACCGCCCGUCAAGCCAUGGGAGCCGGGGGUACCUGAAGUGCGUAACCGCGAGGAGCGCCCUAGGGUAAAACUGGUGACUGGG